rnacentral:rRNA from 1 species
CCUGCUCAGAUUGAACGCUGGCGGCGUGCUUAACACAUGCAAGUCGAACGCGAAAGGGACUUCGGUCCUGAGUAAAGUGGCGCACGGGUGAGUAACGCGUGGAUAAUCUGCCCUUAUGAUUGGAAUAACAGUUGGAAACGGCUGCUAAUACCGGAUACGCUCAAAAUGAACUUUUUGAGGAAAGAUGGCCUCUGCUUGCAUGCUAUCGCAUAAGGAUGAGUCCGCGUCCCAUUAGCUUGUUGGCGGGGUAACGGCCCACCAAGGCAACGAUGGGUAGCCGAUUUGAGAGGAUGAUCGGCCACACUGGAACUGAAACACGGUCCAGACUCCUACGGGAGGCAGCAGUGGGGAAUAUUGCGCAAUGGGCGAAAGCCUGACGCAGCGACGCCGCGUGAGGGAUGAAGGUUUUCGGAUCGUAAACCUCUGUCAGAAGGGAAGAAACUACGUUGUGCUAAUCAGCAGCGACUGACGGACCUCAAAGAAC